AACGUAGGACGCGAGCGUUAUCCGGAAUUACUGGGCGUAAAGCGUGCGCAGGCGGUUCGCCAAGUCAGGUGUGAAAUCCCCGGGCUUAACCUGGGAAUUGCGCUUGAAACUAGCGGGCUUGAGUGUGGCAGAGGGGGGUGGAAUUCCACGUGUAGCAGUGAAAUGCGUAGAGAUGUGGAGGAACACCGAUGGCGAAGGCGGCAUCCUGGACCGGUAUUGACGCUGAGGCGCGAAAGCCAGGGGAGCAAACGGG
rnacentral:rRNA from 1 species